GACGAACGCUGGCGGCGUGCUUAACACAUGCAAGUCGAACGGAAAGGCCCUGCUUUUGUGGGGUGCUCGAGUGGCGAACGGGUGAGUAACACGUGAGUAACCUGCCCUUGACUUUGGUAUAACUUCAGGAAACUGGGGCUACUACCGGAUAGGAGCUCCUGCUGCAUGGUGGGGGUUGGAACGUUUCGGCGGUUGGGGAUGGACUCGCGGCUUAUCAGCUUGUUGGUGGGGUAGUGGCUUACCAAGGCUUUGACGGGUAGCCGGCCUGAGAGGGUGACCGGCCACAUUGGGACUGAGAUACGGCCCAGACUCCUACGGGAGGCAGCAGUGGGGAAUAUUGCACAAUGGGCGGAAGCCUGAUGCAGCAACGCCGCGUGCGGGAUGACGGCCUUCGGGUUGUAAACCGCUUUCGCCUGUGACGAAGCGUGAGUGACGGUAAUGGGUAAAGAAGCACCGGCUAACUACGUG
rnacentral:rRNA from 1 species